UGGGGAAUUUUGGACAAUGGGCGAAAGCCUGAUCCAGCCAUACCGCGUGAGUGAAGAAGGCCUUCGGGUUGUAAAGCUCUUUUAGUCGGAAAGAAAGAGUUGCAAUGAAUAAUUGUGAUUUAUGACGGUACCGACAGAAAAAGCACCGGCUAACUACGUGCCAGCAGCCGCGGUAAUACGUAGGGUGCGAGCGUUAAUCGGAAUUACUGGGCGUAAAGGGUGCGCAGGCGGUCUUGCAAGUCAGAUGUGAAAGCCCCGGGCUUAACCUGGGAAUUGCGUUUGAAACUACAAGGCUAGAGUGCAGCAGAGGGGAGUGGAAUUCCAUGUGUAGCAGUGAAAUGCGUAGAGAUGUGGAAGAACACCGAUGGCGAAGGCAGCUCCCUGGGUUGACACUGACGCUCAUGCACGAAAGCGUGGGGAGCAAACA
rnacentral:rRNA from 1 species